rnacentral:tRNA from 4 species
GGGUCUGUAGCUCAGUUGGUUAGAGCAGCGGACUCAUAAUCCGUUGGUCCUGGGUUCAAGUCCCAGCAGACCUA